CAGGGAAUCUUGCGCAAUGGGCGAAAGCCUGACGCAGCAACGCCGCGUGGGGGAUGAAGGCCUUCGGGUUGUAAACCCCUUUCAGGAGGGAAGAAAUUGACGGUACCUCCAAAAGAAGCCCCGGCCAACUACGUGCCAGCAGCCGCGGUAAUACGUAGGGGGCGAGCGUUGUCCGGAAUCAUUGGGCGUAAAGAGCUCGUAGGCGGUUCAGCAAGUCGGCUGUGAAAUUCCGAGGCUCAACCUCGGAACUGCAGUCGAUACUGCUGUGACUCGAGUCCGGUAGAGGAGAAUGGAAUUCCCGGUGUAGCGGUGAAAUGCGCAGAUAUCGGGAGGAACACCAGUAGCGAAGGCGGUUCUCUGGGCCGGUACUGACGCUGAGGAGCGAAAGCGUGGGGAGCAAACAGG
rnacentral:rRNA from 1 species